CUUGGUCAUUUAGAGGAAGUAAAAGUCGUAACAAGGUUUCCGUAGGUGAACCUGCGGAAGGAUCAUUACCUAGAGUUUGUGGGCUUUGCCUGCUAUCUCUUACCCAUGUCUUUUGAGUACUUACGUUUCCUCGGUGGGUUCGCCCGCCGAUUGGACAAUUUAAACCCUUUGCAGUUGCAAUCAGCGUCUGAAAAACAUAAUAGUUACAACUUUCAACAACGGAUCUCUUGGUUCUGGCAUCGAUGAAGAACGCAGCGAAAUGCGAUAAGUAGUGUGAAUUGCAGAAUUCAGUGAAUCAUCGAAUCUUUGAACGCACAUUGCGCCCCUUGGUAUUCCAUGGGGCAUGCCUGUUCGAGCGUCAUUUGUACCUUCAAGCUUUGCUUGGUGUUGGGUGUUUGUCUCGCCUUUGCGUGUAGACUCGCCUUAAAACAAUUGGCAGCCGGCGUAUUGAUUUCGGAGCGCAGUACAUCUCGCGCUUUGCACUCAUAACGACGACGUCCAAAAGUACAUUUUUUACACUCUUGACCUCGGAUCAGGUAGGGAUACCCGCUGAACUUAAGCAUAUCAAUAAGCGGAGGA
rnacentral:rRNA from 1 species